AGUGGGAUAGCUGGGUCAAAUGGUUGUUCUAGUUUUUGAAGGAAUCUCCAUACUGCUUUCCAUAUUGUCUGCAUCAUUUUGCAGUUCCACCACCAAU
rnacentral:pre_miRNA from 1 species